rnacentral:pre_miRNA from 1 species
CGCGUCGGUGCCUUGUUCUGUGACUGACUCCGCCAGUCUGUCACAGAACACGAGACCGGCCGCAU